UUUUCCCUUCUCCCAGUCACAGCAACUCCAUCCUUCCUAACCCUUUGCAGAACUACUUCAGCGCAUAAGUCUGGCAGAAGACCACUCCUCUGCCCUGGCCACUGACUUAAAAAGCCAAAACAAAACAGAAACCCACUUUCUGCCAGCUUGAAUCUGCUUCACAGAGGACCUUAUGAAGGCUGUGCAAAGGAGGACAUAGAACUAUGAAGGUUUUUCAACACAGAGUCCACACUGGUUUCAUAUGUGAUGAGGAGAAAAGCAAACAGUGGAGAACAGCAGUAGAUACGACACAGAAAAGCAAGAAAGAAAAAUUAAGGACUAAAAGACAGAGCUGUUUCUAA
rnacentral:lncRNA from 12 species